rnacentral:lncRNA from 1 species
CUGAAAACCCUGUCCUUAAUUCCAUCAAAUCAAGUAAAGAAUCUGGGCGUCAUCUUUGACUCUGAGCUGACUUUUAUCCCACAUAUUAAAAAUAUAACAAAAACAGGGUUUUAUCAUUGAAAGAAUAAAGCCAGAGUCCACCCCUUUCUCUCCUGGGCUAACACAGAGAUGCUAAUGCAUGCUUUUAUCUCCAGUUGUCUUGACAAUUGUUACGCCCUGCUUUCUGGUCUUCCAAAAAGACACAUUGCAAGUUUACAACUGUUGCAAAACUCAGCAGCAGGUGUGCUGACGAGGAUCAGAAGGCGGGCACAUAUUACACCGGUUUUAAAAUCACUGCAUUGGCUCCCUGUGUGCUUUAGGAUUGAUUUUAAGGCCCUUUUAAUGGUUUUUAAAUAUCUUAGGCGUCUUGGACCUUCUAAUCUUUCAGAAUUGCUUUUACAAUAUGAACCCUCGCGGAACCUGAGAUCCUCUGACACUGGCCUUUUAAUAGUCCCCAAAGUGAGAACACGAACUUACGGUGAGGCAUCUUUCUAGCACUAUGGCCCCCGUCUUUGGAAUAGCCUGCCGGAGGACCUUAGGGCCGCAGAGAAUGUUCAUAUUUUUCAAAGCAGGCUCAAGACCCACCUAUUUAAUUUCGCUUUUAAUUAAUGUAUUAUUUUUAAUAAAUAUUUUUAUCCUAUUUUUAUCUUAUUUUAUUUCCUUUAUAUAUAUUAGUCCUCAUUUUACAUGUUAUGUUUAUUCUAUUUUUUCACUUAUUUUUAAAUGGUAUUUUAGCUAUUUAUCAGUAUUUUAUAAUUGUAUGUAGUUUGAUGUUUUUAGCUGAUUUAGUUUAUGUAUUUAUUGCAUUUCUCCAGUGUUUCCUCAGUAGGGGGGCCACCCGCACUGGAGGCUGUGACUGGUUCUGUCUAGGGUUUCUCUGCCUCGUGGUGUGCACUCAGCUUGGCCAGGUGGUGGUCUGCAGCAGUGCUUGCUGCUGUGGGCCCCUAACUGGCCUGUAGCAGGGUGCGCACCCGGGUGGAGGUGUCCUGGCCCUGGGCCGUGAGUGGCCUCCAGUGCAGUCAUCCUCCUGACAUUUCCUAGCUCAUCUGUACUCAGCCACACGCUUUUAAGAUUGCAUCAUCUGUGUGUGCGUGCGUGCGUGCGUGCGUGUGUGUGUGUGUGUUGGGGUAGCGGGCUGGAUAUGGGGGGGCUCAUUGUUUUAAAUUGUAUAGCACUUUGUGCUGCAUUUCUUUUUGCCUGAAAAGUGCUAUAUAAAUAAAGUUUGAUUUGAUUUGAUUUUAAAUUUCCAUCUCCUAUCAUUUCCUCCACUCUGACAUGGGCACACACCAGAACAACCAUGACCAGCAAAUUUCAGCAGACUGAACUAAGACAGCUGAGAAAUCAGAGUCAGCUGAAGGCUUGCUUUUGUGGAUCUACCCUCACCUUUUUAAUAACAGUCUGAUUUGAUGGAACCACAGCUCAGAAAAGAGAGCAGCUAGAAAGAAUUAAGUGGUUGGUUGCCUCCAGAGUUCUGAAUGUCAAACUGACUUUGCUAAAUGAUGUUUGUGAAUAGAAAUGUGGUAGAAAUGGGCCCAAGGUCCAAAGUCCUCAAGAUGUUCCUUGUUAAAUCAGAAAAUAAAUAAAUAAACGUAUCAUUUACUAAGAUGAAAAGACACAAAUUACUAUGGGGUGCCGUUUGUAAAGCAGCCCAUUAUAAAAACAACAGCAAGAUUUGGUCACAUUUAGCAAAACAACAGCAAGAUUUAGUCACAUUUAGCUUCAAACAGCAUUUAAAAAAGUGAUGUGAAUUUUCGGCAGUCAUUUUUUUGCGCAUUUACAACAACAUUUAAAUACUAAAACUAAAUGUUAAAUGUUAAAUCUAAAUGUUAAAUCUAAAUCUAAAUGUUAAAUAUAAAUCUAAAUGUUAAAUCUAAAUCUAAAUGUUAAAUCUAAAUCUAAAUGUUAAAUCUAAAUGUGUUGGGUGAAACUAAAUAUUUAGCUAAUAUGCAAAUUCACGGUCGGAAACCGGAAGUGCCAAAAUAAAAGCUCCAGAAGGUCAUAUUGAUGAUUCUUGUGUCGAAGAAAACGAAUUAAAACCAAUUUAAGGGGGGGACAAAUACUUGAGGUGACGUUUCGUGUUAAUAACUACCUACAAUAGCGACAGCAACAACAAAAACUUUAUUAGAAAGACUCGAGUUUUCAGUGUCGCUUCUCCGUAUGGCGCGGACACUGUACGAACACAGCGUCCGCCACAGCCACCGAUGAAGCUGCAGAGGGAGGAAGAGUUCUGAUGGCUGCUAAUACAGCUCUCCCGAUGUUCUCCGCGAGCGCAGAAUCCCCGGACAUUUUUUGUUCAAUUCAGGCUUGAAGAAGCUUGACCUUACAGCGCGGGCCGGUUUCGGGGUGGUGGUGGUGGGGGAAGGGGGGCGCGCACAAAGGAUGGGCGGAUUGUUGGUCGAAGUGGAAAAUCCGCCC